CAAGGUAAGCUCUUCAGGCCUUGACUGCAGCAAGGUAGUAGAACAAAUAUAUAUGACUCAAGGUUACAAGAAUCGUUUCUCUAAGAAGCCGGUUUCAAGAUAGGAAAUUCCUCUUAUGGACUUGUGGUAAUUGAUAUGAUCUUAGAACGAGCUAAGAUUCUCGUGUAAACUGCUGCUACCCAAGACCUCAUAUAAGACAUGAGAGAGAUUACUCACAGUGGCUGGAAGACCAG